GGCAAUGGGGUUGCGAGACCGUACGUGUUGCACAAGAAUGUGAUGUGCUGAAGCCAUGGCCCAACUAAGCGAGGCCCAGAUGCCCAACUAAGCGAGAGCUGCUUACUCUAUUGUGCUGCAGUCUGUGUGGCUGCUGGGAGAGUUACAAAAGUACUCAAGAACGUAACUUCAGACUCAUGCCGAUGACACUGCUGAAACCACAUUGAAGACUAUGCUGCGACGGUUGAGUGGUACCUGGUGUCGAGGCACAGUAGCAGGAGCGUCAGCUCUAUGGGGGCGCCAAGAGGCUCGGGAAGAAGCAUCGGUAGCCAAUUGAUUCAUGCAUGACUGCUAUGACGAAGUUUGGGGGCGGGGUCAGGGGCGGGGUCUUGUCUGCUCCAAUCGCGCCAAGGCAUGGGGUGGGGGUAUUGCAUCGUGGGGUGGCCAGCCCACCUUGUCUUUGAAGCUCGCUGGUGCCCCUCUGCAAGCUGCAUGUACUAUUUAAUGAAUCGUGACCAUGACAGCACGCGCUGUAAACGAGCUGAACUCGCGGGGUGGAUUCCUCGGUGUAUUGGACCGCGCACUGCAGCCGCGGUUAAGGACGCAACAGCAGCGAGCUAGGCAAACCAAGGCACGAAUGCGUAUGCUUGAGACGCCUGGGAUUGCGUCCGGAGCUGCCUGGCGAUUCCUCGGUGCCAAUCGCGAAUUCCUUUUUGCUCCCAAUCGCUUUUGAGUCACAACAUACAUUGUGAAGUCCCCCAUAUCGCAUCCACACGGCACACGGGCUGCAGGCUGGAGCCGCAGGAGUGCCGGCAGUGCCCGACCAGGUGGGGCUUGCGGUUGCUCGCGGUUACUGUAUUGGGGGUGGGGCGGUUACUUGCGCAGGCCCAUGACUAGCAGCAUUGAGGGCUGGCUGCACGGGUGGGUGGUAUCGGCGGAAGGACAGCGUUGAGAGAGGGCAGGCAGCGGUAGGCAGGCAGGCAGGAAGGCAGGCAGGCGGACUUGGCCGUACGCCAGCAGGGUGGCGGUUUGUCGGGGAGGCCCGCAGGGAGGUCCGGGGCUGGGCUGGGGGACGGGGCCUGGGCACGCGGACCGCGCAGCCGGAUGGGCCGGUAGCUCCAAGUGUGCUGGCAGCAGCCAGUUGCAGUUGACGCCUGGCUGGCAGUCUAGCUUUGCUCCAGACCUCGCCUUUAACCAGUUCCGUCCCUCGUGUCUCCCAUGGGCGCGCAGGCGGCUUUGAUUGCUCUGCAAAAGCAAGUGGCGGCAUGCCAAGCGCGUGAGGCGGCAUACCAAGCGGAGACUGAGCGGCUGAGGGCCCAGCUUGUGAGUGGCUGUGUGCACGGGGCGGUGUGCAUGGCCUGCUACUGGAGAUGGGUUUACUUGCGGAAGACUGCCAGUUCGGGUCAAUCUGCAUGCGACAUGUUAAUCGGGCGUCAGAGGUGGCUCAUCAAUUGCACCGCCACGCAUAUGUCCUCCGCCGCUGACUUGCACCGCCACGCACAUGUCCACCGCCGCUGACUUGCGUGUCCCAUCAUUCCACUGCUGCAUGUGGACAGGCGGCCGCAGGGCACGUGGGGGCUGCCGGCUCGUUGGGUGCCGGGGCUGCUGGCCCAUCUGGUGCUGCUGCCCCACCUGCUGCUGGUGGUGCUGCUGGUGGUGCUACUGGCACGAAGCGGCAGGCCGACCUAGGGAGCGGCGGGGCCACUACCGCAGAGCCGCCGCAGCAGCGGCGGAAGCUCGGACUAUCGGAGGACGAGCAGCCGGCGCAGCAGACGGCGGCACAGGAGGCGGCACAGGAGGAGGCGGCGGAGGCGGCGCAGCCGGCGGCACAGGAGGCGACGCAGGAGCAGCCAGCGCAGCAGCUGCCGCUAGCACAGCAGGCACCGGAAGAGCAGGCGGAGGCAGAUCAGGCGCAGCAGCUGUAGCAGCACCAGGGGCUAAGCCAACAGGUUGUGUGGGAUGCUGCGUGCUAGGUUGAUUGCGGCAGGGUUGAGUAGUUGCCGCAGCUGCCGCCGGUUGUUGGGCUGGCGCAUACUGCCAUAAUGUUGCUGGGCAUGAGAGUGGCGAAAGGCAAUGGGGUUGCGAGACCGUACGUGUUGCACAAGAAUGUGAUGUGCUGAAGCCAUGGCCCAACUAAGCGAGGCCCAGAUGCCCAACUAAGCGAGAGCUGCUUACUCUAUUGUGCUGCAGUCUGUGUGGCUGCUGGGAGAGUUGCAAAAGUACUCAAGAACGUAACUUCAGACUCAUGCCGAUGACACUGCUGAAACCACAUUGAAGACUAUGCUGCGACGGUUGAGUGGUACCUGGUGUCGAGGCACAGUAGCAGGAGCGUCAGCUCUAUGGGGGCGCCAAGAGGCUCGGGAAGAAGCAUCGGUAGCCAAUUGAUUCAUGCAUGACUGCUAUGACGAAGUUUGGGGGCGGGGUCAGGGGCGGGGUCUUGUCUGCUCCAAUCGCGCCAAGGCAUGGGGUGGGGGUAUUGCAUCGUGGGGUGGCCAGCCCACCUUGUCUUUGAAGCUCGCUGGUGCCCCUCUGCAAGCUGCAUGUACUAUUUAAUGAAUCGUGACCAUGACAGCACGCGCUGUAAACGAGCUGAACUCGCGGGGUGGAUUCCUCGGUGUAUUGGACCGCGCACUGCAGCCGCGGUUAAGGACGCAACAGCAGCGAGCUAGGCAAACCAAGGCACGAAUGCGUAUGCUUGAGACGCCUGGGAUUGCGUCCGGAGCUGCCUGGCGAUUCCUCGGUGCCAAUCGCGAAUUCCUUUUUGCUCCCAAUCGCUUUUGAGUCACAACAUACAUUGUGAAGUCCCCCAUAUCGCAUCCACACGGCACACGGGCUGCAGGCU
rnacentral:lncRNA from 1 species